rnacentral:rRNA from 1 species
GACGAACGCUGGCGGCGUGCUUAACACAUGCAAGUCGAACGGAAAGGCCCUGCUUUUGUGGGGUGCUCGAGUGGCGAACGGGUGAGUAACACGUGAGUAACCUGCCCUUGACUUUGGGAUAACUUCAGGAAACUGGGGCUAAUACCGGAUAGGAGCUCCUGCUGCAUGGUGGGGGUUGGAAAGUUUCGGCGGUUGGGGAUGGACUCGCGGCUUAUCAGCUUGUUGGUGGGGUAGUGGCUUACCAAGGCUUUGACGGGUAGCCGGCCUGAGAGGGUGACCGGCCACAGUGGGACUGAGAUACGGCACAGACUCCUACGGGAGGCAGCAGUGGGGAAUAGUGCACAAUGGGCGGAAGCCUGAUGCAGCAACGCCGCGUGCGGGAUGACGGCCUUCGGGUUGUAAACCGCUUUCGCCUGUGACGAAGCGUGAGUGACGGUAAUGGGUAAAGAAGCACCGGCUAACUACGUG